GCUUCACAAUAUAUUUUGUCAUAAAUUUCCCCUAUGCUUGCUGCAAGAUUCAGUAUGCAUGUACAAUCAUCUGGAAGCUUAAAACUGAUACUUAAAGGUCACUUUGUCUAAGAUGCAGAGAGGGCUAAGGAGUUGGAUAAGAUGGGCCGGUCUAUUUGUAUUCCAGUAAAGGCUGAACCAACAUGAACACAUUCAGAGUUUGCUCCCCAGGAAAAAAGGACAUCAAGGACCUGGGUCUGUUUUCACGAUGGAGCAGAUCUCGAGUAUCCCAGCAGUCUGUCUCCUUCGUCGAGACAAUGAAUUUAAAGUUCUUAAGAUUUGGCUAAAAGGUUUUUAGACGCGAGAUGGUGAGCUCUUCCCUAUUUCCGAGUGGUGCUGCCAAUAAGUGAGAUGUACGUUUUGUUCCUUGGAUAUGCCUGGUGAGUUAAUCCAUGUUUUGCUCUUUAACGCUUUGGUUACAUAUGUUUGACCUAAUCUUCUCUAAAAUGUUAUCAUGAUUUUGGUGAUACCGUGACUUGCGUGCUAUGAAAAUUAAGGUUAUUAAGAUGAAUGGCGUUUGUAUAAGACUAGGCAUAUUUCAAAAUUAUUCACCAAAUCCUUGAGGGAGUUUUAUAGUUGUAUUGUAUUGCCAGUUUACUACCAUAUUAAAAGAAGGAUUUGAGUGUGGAGCACUACAUGCCAAUCACAGAUUAAAAUGAACUUGGGAUACAGUUGUAGUUGGAAGUGGACAGAAUAUAUGUGAAUAAAAAGACCUAAAGAUCAGUAGGCUGUUGUGAAACUGAGUUGCUACUAGAAUUGAGGCAUGGGUCAUGUAUUAUUUGAACGAGUAUUGAUUUGUAUCUGCUUACUGUGUGAAGUGAAGUUGUAAAAUAACUAUUCUAUGAAAUCUGUUUUGACC